CAGAAUAUAUAAACUAGGCCUUUGCAGUUUAAACUGAGCAGUGUCAAGCAGAAGGGGGAGCAAGAUGGAGUUCCAGACCCCGAUACUCUUGUCUCUGUUGCUCUGGGUGUCUGGUGCCUAUGCCAACAUGGUGAUGUCCCAGUCUCCAACUUCCCUUGCUGUGUCAGCAGGUGGGAAGGUCACCAUCAGAUGCACGUCUAGUGAGAGCCUUUAUUCAAGCACAUACAAGGCGAACUACUUGGCUUGGUACCAGAAGAAGCCAGGGCAAGCACCUAAACUGCUGAUCUACUAUGGGUCCACUCGGUACACUGGGGUUCCUGAUCGCUUCACAGGCAGUGGAUCUGGGACAGAUUUCACUCUCACCAUCAGCAGUGUGCAAGCUGAAGACCUGGCAGAUUAUUACUGUGCACGGCAUUAUAACUUUCCUCCCACAGUGCUCCAGCCUCCUACACAAACCUCCUUCAGACUCACCAGCUGCCUCUACCACACACAGCCCUGGUCUUGCGCACUUCCCCCUUCUGCCUGA